rnacentral:pre_miRNA from 1 species
AGGCAGUGUGAUGUUUGCUGGCUGCUUUGAAUCGAUUCAGCAGCCACCGUUACUCUGCCAC